AGCCCCCCCUCUAGCUCAACCACACAAAUAGUACACCAAAACUAAAGAAUUUACUAAACUAAUUAAACUAAAGCAUUUUACAGUCUUAGUAUAGGCGAUAGAAAAGACACUUAGACGCGAUAGAGACCCCAGUACCGUAAGGGAAAGAUGAAAUAGCAGUGAAACAAUCAAAGCGACAGACAGCAAAGAUCAACCCUUGUACCUUUUGCAUCAUGGUUUAGCGAGAACAACCAAGCAAAGUGAACUAAAGUUUGCCCCCCCGAAACCCAAGCGAGCUACUUUCAAGCAGUUAAAGAGAGCGAACCCGUCUCUGUUGCAAAAGAGUGGGAUGACUUGUCAGUAGAGGUGAAAAGCCAACCGAGCUGGGUGAUAGCUGGUUACCUGUGAAACGAAUCUAAGUUCCCCCUUAAUCCUCCCUACCGGACAUCCUGAACCCUAAUGAGAUGAUUAAGAGCUAUUUAAUGGAGGGACAGCUCCAUUAAAAAAGGACACAACCUCGACUAGCGGAUAAUUCUUACUACUGAUCCUACCGUGGGCCCUAAAGCAGCCAUCAAAAAAGAGUGCAUCAAAGCUCCACCACCUAAAAAUACCAAAAUAAGAUGAUUCCCUUAUCACAAACAGGUCAACCUAUGAAUAUAGGAGAAUUAAUGCUAAAAUAAGUAACUCAGGCCACACCCCUCUAACGGCGCAAGCUUACAUAGAAACAUUAUUAACAGACCUAGACAGAUACAAAAACCCCUACAGACCACGUAUUAACUAACCCUGUUAACCCGACUCAGAGCGCCUAUAGAGCGAUUAAAUCUGUGAAAGACUCGGCAAAUUAUAGCCCGACUGUUUAUCAAAAACAUAGCUUCAGCAAAUAAACAGUAUGAGUGAUGCCUGCCCGGUGACUUAGGUUUAACGGCCGCGGUAUCCUAACCGUGCAAAGGUAGCGCAAUCAAUUGUCCCAUAAAUCGAGACUUGUAUGAAUGGCUAAACGAGGUCUUAACUGUCUCUCACAGAUAAUCAGUGAAAUUGAUCUCCCCGUGCAAAAGCGGGGAUGUGAACAUAAGACGAGAAGACCCUGUGGAACUUAAAAAUCAACGACCACCGCGAAUCCUCAAUCAACCCCACUGGGGCCACUACCAUCGCAGAGCCUGGUCGAUAUUUUUCGGUUGGGGCGACCUUGGAGGAGAACAAAUCCUCCAAAAACAAGACCAUACCUCUUUACCUAGAGCUACCCCUCAAAGUGCUAACAGUGACCAGACCCAAUAUAAUUGAUUAAUGGACCA
rnacentral:rRNA from 1 species